CACGUAGGGCGCAAGCGUUGUCCGGAAUUAUUGGGCGUAAAGAGCUUGUAGGCGGUCUGUCGCGUCUGCUGUGAAAAUCCGGGGCUCAACCCCGGACUUGCAGUGGGUACGGGCAGACUAGAGUGUGGUAGGGGAGACUGGAAUUCCUGGUGUAGCGGUGAAAUGCGCAGAUAUCAGGAGGAACACCGGUGGCGAAGGCGGGUCUCUGGGCAACAACUGACGCUGAGGAGCGAAAGCGUGGGGAGCGAACAGG
rnacentral:rRNA from 1 species